rnacentral:rRNA from 1 species
UACAGAGGUGGCAAGCGUUGUUCGGAAUUACUGGGCGUAAAGGGCGCGUAGGCGGCCUUGUCAGUCAGACGUGAAAUCCCCAGGCUUAACCUGGGAACUGCGUCUGAUACUACAAGGCUGGAGUUCGGGAGAGGAAUGUGGAAUUCCAGGUGUAGCGGUGAAAUGCGUAGAUAUCUGGAGGAACACCGGUGGCGAAGGCAGGUCUCUGGGCUGACACUGACGCUCAUGCACGAAAGCGUGGGGAGCAAACAGG